UAACAAGGAUUCCCCUAGUAACUGCGAGUGAAGCGGGAAAAGCUCAAAUUUAAAAUCUGGUAGCCUUUGGUUGCCCGAGUUGUAGUCUGGAGAAGUGUCUUCCGCGCCGAACCGUGUACAAGUCUCUUGGAACAGAGCGUCAUAGAGGGUGAGAAUCCCGUCUUUGACACGGACUACCGGUGCUUUGUGAUGCGCUCUCAAAGAGUCGAGUUGUUUGGGAAUGCAGCUCAAAAUGGGUGGUGAAUUCCAUCUAAAGCUAAAUAUUGGCGAGAGACCGAUAGCGAACAAGUACCGUGAGGGAAAGAUGAAAAGCACUUUGGAAAGAGAGUUAAACAGUACGUGAAAUUGCUAAAAGGGAACCGCUUGAAGUCAGUCGCGUCGUCUAGAACUCAACCUUGCUUGCUUGGUGCAUUUUCUAGUUGACGGGCCAACAUCAAUUUUGACUGUCGGAAAAAAGCCUUCGGAAUGUGGCACCCUCGGGUGUGUUAUAGCCUUUGGUUGUAUACGAUGGUUGGGAUUGAGGACCGCAGCACGCCUUUAUGGCCGGGGUUCGCCCACGUACGUGCUUAGGAUGUUG
rnacentral:rRNA from 1 species